AUUGAACGCUGGCGGCAGGCCUAACACAUGCAAGUCGAGCGGCAGCGACUUAACUGAACCUUCGGGGAACGUUAGGGGCGGCGAGCGGCGGACGGGUGAGUAAUGCCUGGGAAUAUGCCCUGAUGUGGGGGAUAACUAUUGGAAACGAUAGCUAAUACCGCAUAAUCUCUUCGGAGCAAAGAGGGGGACCUUCGGGCCUCUCGCGUCAGGAUUAGCCCAGGUGGGAUUAGCUUGUUGGUGAGGUAAUGGCUCACCAAGGCAACGAUCCCUAGCUGGUCUGAGAGGAUGAUCAGCCACACUGGAACUGAGACACGGUCCAGACUCCUACGGGAGGCAGCAGUGGGGAAUAUUGCACAAUGGGGGAAACCCUGAUGCAGCCAUGCCGCGUGUGUGAAGAAGGCCUUCGGGUUGUAAAGCACUUUCAGUAGGGAGGAAGGUAGUGUAGUUAACACCUGCAUUAUUUGACGUUACCUACAGAAGAAGCACCGGCUAACUCCGUGCCAGCAGCCGCGGUAAUACGGAGGGUGCGAGCGUUAAUCGGAAUUACUGGGCGUAAAGCGCAUGCAGGCGGCCUGUUAAGUCAGAUGUGAAAGCCCGGGGCUUAACCUCGGAAUUGCAUUUGAAACUGGCAGGCUAGAGUCUUGUAGAGGGGGGUAGAAUUUCAGGUGUAGCGGUGAAAUGCGUAGAGAUCUGAAGGAAUACCAGUGGCGAAGGCGGCCCCCUGGACAAAGACUGACGCUCAGAUGCGAAAGCGUGGGGAGCAUACAGG
rnacentral:rRNA from 1 species